rnacentral:rRNA from 1 species
UACGGAGGAUGCGAGCGUUAUCCGGAUUUAUUGGGUUUAAAGGGUGCGCAGGCGGGCGAUUAAGUCAGCGGUGAAAGGCGACGGCUCAACCGGAGCAGUGCCGUUGAUACUGGUUGUCUUGAAUGCGGUCAAGGCCGGCGGAAUGCGACGUGUAGCGGUGAAAUGCAUAGAUAUGUCACAGAACACCGAUAGCGAAGGCAGCUGGCCGGGCCUGCAUUGACGCUCAGGCACGAAAGCGUGGGGAUCAAAC